UACGUAGGGGGCUAGCGUUGUCCGGAAUCAUUGGGCGUAAAGAGCGUGUAGGCGGUCCGGUAAGUCCGCUGUGAAAGUCGGGGGCUCAACCCUCGAAUGCCGGUUGAUACUGUCGGGCUAGAGUGCGGAAGAGGCGAGUGGAAUUCCUGGUGUAGCGGUGAAAUGCGCAGAUAUCAGGAGGAACACCUAUUGCGAAGGCGGCGCGCUGGGACGUAACUGACGCUGAGACGCGAAAGCGUGGGGAGCAAACAGG
rnacentral:rRNA from 1 species